rnacentral:lncRNA from 1 species
GAGAUCGAGUAGCUGAUUUCAAUGAUGGGAUCGGUGAAGCGUUACCAAUUCAGUAGUAGGGAUCAAAGAAGAUUAUGGUGGGCUCUGGUUCAAAAGAGGGUACCAGGAGCGAGUAUGGACAAAAGUCAGUAACAUAUCUCUAAUUUCCAAAUCGGUACCACAUUCAUAUAAAGUCGAGUAGUGGGUACAUUUGCGUACAUACCUGCAUGUGUGGUCGAGUAAUCAUUAUUAUUUUUUAUUGUUGUGAAUAAGCGUGUGAUUAAU